rnacentral:lncRNA from 1 species
AAGGGACCGGUGGUCAUAGGAUAUGUAGUGUUAGUGUUGGGUAUGGGUAAUGAUAACGAUGGAGCUUGUGUAUAUGGAGGAGAGUACAUAAGAGGCAAUGGGUGUGGGUGCAUCAUAUUGGGGGUGGGGGUGCCUGGAGGUGGAGGUGUAGGGUAGGGUGAGUGAGGUGAAGAAGGUGGUCUUGGGUGAAGAGUCAUAUUCAUUUGCCAUGGGGUGGGCCCAGGAGGAGGUAGAGCAAUGUUCAUGGGCAUUGGUGCAACACGGACAACAGGUGGCGAUGGGUUAAAUGGAGUAGCUGAUGCAGACAACCUCUUGUUUUGGGGUUCUUGACUUUGAUUUGGUUUUACAUUUUCUGUCUCCGUCUCUAUACUGGCAUUGGAGGGAACAAUUGGAAUUGGCAUGUCGAUUAUUACACUCUUGUCUAUUACCUUAUCAACCUCCACCACAUCUGCAAUUGCUCCUAAAUGAGUUUCUUCUGUUUCGUCUUUCGUAUCCACUUUCUCAAAAAUCUCUUCUUCCGCUUCUUUAACAACAGAUUCCUCGUGCUUACCGUUAUCGAUUUCCUUAUCAUCAGGAAUAAUGUCAUCAUCCCUGUCCGUGACCUGCAACAGAGAAAUGGAACCUGGUGGGGCCACGGCUACUUCUUUGUAAGAAGGAGAUUUUCCAAUGCUAAUCAUGGAUCUUCUCUGUGUCUGUGGUACUGAUGAUGCUUCUUUUGUUGUUUGUUCAGAUGACGAAGAAUUAGAAUUAGUUUCUUCCACAGGCACAUGGACCGAGGACUUAACUCUGUAUGUCAAACCUUUGACAAUUCUACGCCCAAAUUUAUUAUGAUUAGGAGUUGCAGUGUGGUAGUCAACAUAAGUUGAAGGAGACAUCACUCGUUUCUUUACAAAGUGAUACCUUCCAGUUCCAUUUUCAGACUCAUGAACAACACCUUUCUUUUGAUAGCCGUAAACCUUGUUGAGACUCGUUGUUGCUUUCCUCUGUCUUAGUCGACGUCCAUAUGAGCCUGCUGAUCUUGGCCUUUGAACCGCUUGCCACCCUUCUUCUCCUCCUCCUCCUUCAUUACUACCAGGGUUAGGGUUUUGUGCACCAGUUUCCUCUGGUGGCUGAAGCUCAGAAGCAACUGGAACUGGUGUUUCUUCCUUGAUUGGUGGUAUCGACUCAACAAAUAGAGAGGUGGAUUCUUGAUUCACUUGAAUCUCAUGUUCAAGGGCCGCCUCUUCAUCUGUAACUUGUUUCAGAAGAUCUUUUGGAGAUGCCUCCUCAGCAUUUGCCACCUCCAAGGUUUGGUAGCUUUUUCCCUUCAACUGGAAAUGAAAUAUGUCGUCGUAUACUUAGAUAUGUUUUCCUUAUUAUGAAUAUCAUAAUAUAUGUAAUGCAAGUGAGCAUACCUUCUGGAUAUAGGUUUUACGUUUUAAACCCAUACCAUCAGUCCCUUGCCCAUCAUGACUUGGAUUGAUAUAGUCAAGCAAAUCCGAUACACUGCCCAUCAUCAUUUACACAAAUCAUUUAUUGGUUUGGUUUGGUUUGGUUUGAAAUGAAUUGAAUGAAAUCAUUUAAACAUACCUAAGAUGACCUUUGCUAGCUAUGGAUGCAUCGGGUUUCCGAGUCCCAUUUCUUGCAGCUUCUUGUUGUUCAAGAGCCUUUGAUUCAAAAUACUCGAGCCAAGCAGCAGCAUCCUGUGUGCGUAGAUCAUCUGGCCCAAGUUUUGCACGUAGUAUCUGCAAGGUUGUUUGUUCAUGCUGAACACUCAGAGGAUAAGCUUCCAUUAAAGAGAGAGCAAUUGCGAUUGCAUGGUAACUUGCAGCAGUCUACAAAACAAAAGGAGCAUGGUUAAUCUUGUCACCAUGUAGACUCCUGUUUUUAUGGGGGGGUGGGGGGUGGGAAUUUAACAGGUAAAUAAGCAACCUGGAUAUGGUCUGGCCCAAGUAACUUUUGGUUGCACUUGAGAGCUUUAUGAAGAUAUCUGAGGGCGACAUGGACAUUUCCCAAACCUUCCUCCAUCAUAGCUACAUUGAUGUACGUGGCAGCAGUAUUUGGAUGUGAUGGGCCACAUGUAAGAUGUAGCAAAUACAAUGCUCGUUUUACAUACCUGAUAUUGUAGUAGGUAAGAAAACAAACUUGUAUUAAAGGGGACAAAAAAAAAACAUACUUGAGAGCCAACUCUGUAUGUUGAAGUCGAUAGUAGAACACUGCAAGAUCCCCAUAGCUUUUCAUGGUAUCUGGAUGAUCCAAUCCCAGUUCUCUCUCAUUGAUGUCCAAAGCUUUUUGUUGGUAGAUUGUGGCCUGCAAUUCAAUCCAAUCCAAUCAAUCUAAGAGCUUGAAAGACAGACAAAACAACAAAAUAGUAUAUCUAUAUUCCCCAUUAAUAUUAAUAAAUAAAUAAUAACAAAUCAAAACCUGGUUGAAGUCCCCAGUGUGAUACAAAACCACAGCAAGGAGACUGUAAGCUCCUGCAGUUAUUCGAUGAUAAGGACCACAUACUGCAACUAGCUUUGCAAGAGCCUGUAAGAAGGAAUAAGUAAUAACAUGUUAGGUCAUGCUAAUAUAUUUAAAAAAAAACUUGUGCCAAAUGUGACACUCGUACCUUUGUCCCAUAACUAACUGCAUCUUCUAGCUUUCCCUUGUCGAGGGCAGUUUUUGAUGAUUCCAGGAGUUGGCGUCCAUCAGCAGAUGAGCAUGCUGCUUGCUGCAACAUAAUACAACAAAUCGAUACAUGAAACAAUNNNNNNNNNNNNNNNNNNNNNNNNNNNNNNNNNNNNNNNNNNNNNNNNNNNNNNNNNNNNNNNNNNNNNNNNNNNNNNNNNNNNNNNNNNNNNNNNNNNNNNNNNNNNNNNNNNNNUAGAGAUAAAAAAAAAUAUAUAUAUAUAUAUAUAUAUAUAUAUAUAUAUUUAUAUAUAAACUGACUUGAAUGGUUGUAAGACAAUGAGCAAUCAAUUGUUAAUUGAUCACCUUAUGCACUGGUACUAAGCUGAUGAUGUCCUCCUUUUUGAAAGGCUGUGGAGAGUUCAUAUCAAAAUCUCUUGGAACCAGCUCAAUGCCAACCUGGAAAAUCGGUACAAUACAAAUUUGUUUGCAAUGUUAAGGAUACUUGAGGGAGGAAGGGUACAUUCAGUUCUGUAUGAAUCAAUUACCUUAUGGCAUAACCCACGUAGUAUAGCAAUUUUUCUAAGCUCUGUGUAGUUAAAGCUGGCAAGAUCCCAGUCAAAUCGCUUCUUCAAGAAAACUUCUAGCCAUGUCUUUGUUACAGAAUCAACACAAGAUUUUUUACUUUUAGGAACCCCAAGCAUCAGAUUCAGUGCAGCAGCAAUUCCAGCAGCCAUUUCCUCUGGUUUAGAAACAGCAGCAAUCACUGCCUGUAUAAUGUGCUUAAAAGCUCGUACUAUCAUCUCAUGUAUACAUAGAGAUUGCACAUGUGAUAAUUUUUCUGACAACUUAACCUGAUCAAACACAAAAACAGCAAGCAUUAGUCACUGUAAAGCCUUCUAAGUUGCAGAUACCACAGAAUAUAAUAAAUGAAAAAUAACUAACCACUUGUCCUAAAGAACGCAUGCGGAGACCUCGUGUGUGCAUAAAAUCAGUUAGAGUUCGCCCAUCAACUGGUGAUAGUUCCAAAGAACCAAAAUCUGCAACCUACAUAUGACAAUCAAGCGCAAUAAUCUGUCAGUUAUCACACUUACAUUAAUUAGAAACCUAAUAAGAUGAUGCUUUUAGCUAUGUAAUGUAGUUACCAAUUUCGGAAGAGCAACUUCGUUGUAAUAUUUUUGAGAUUGGUCAAUCAGCUCCAGCAAAGACUACAAAUAACAAGCACCGAGUUAAUAUGCAAUACUAUACAAAUAUGUACACAUAUAAUACUUUAAUUUUAACACCACCUUGCAGUGGAGCCCAGUUUCUGACUCUUUAAGCCGAGUAAAAGCAGCAUCAGAUAACAAUUUUUUUAAAGCAUUCUCAUUUUCAUCUGAAUUGGGAGAUUCUACAACAAAGUCUAACACAGAAUUCUCGACUUCCCCAUUCACAACAUCAACAACUUUUGUGCUCCCCUCCAAAUCUUUUUUCUUGUUUUUUAAAGAUCGAAGAGCUGUCCCGAGCCCUUCAACCUUCACCUUUUCAGUAGAAGCUUUCUUGUCUUUUUCUGUUUUCUUUUGAUCUUGUAAAUGUUGUAUCCAGCAAGCUCCAAGUUCCCAUCUUGUAAACUUGUCAGAUUCAACACACUCUUCCUGAAGCUUCAUUAAACUCUCCUUUAAUAGUUUCUCCACAAGGACUCGAGAAGUACCGAGCUCUUCGCCUUCAGAUCUUUUCAAAUUAGGAAGAAUGCUACUUGCUUUUUUAUGAAGCAGCAACCUCAAACUACAAGAAAUAAGCUUACAGUGAGCAUUAACAUGGUAAGUGGCACAAAUGUAAUAUAUGCCAAUGUGAAGAAAAACCUGUUGAUAUUGAGUGCGCAUGCUCCUCCAUCAGGCUGAUCGAGAAGCUCAAUGUAUGGCAAUGGAGAUUGUUUCUUGUCAUCUUCUCUCUCCUCAACUUUCACGACAGCAGUAUAACCACAAUACCUUACAUUCACAACACCAAGAGUAGCUAUAUCCUGGUUUUCAAACAGAAAACUCACACAUUAAUAAAAUAGAAUAAAAAAAAAGAACAUGAAAUCAAGAUGAUUGGAAUUGAAGGAUCAUCUUACAUGAGCAGCAGUGUUCUCAUCCGCAGUGAUCCCUUUCAGUAGGUUUCUCUCCACCAAAUUUUCUUUCUCCACCCCAGUUGCUUGAGAUCCAUCAAUCUUUGUAUCUAUUUUGCAGCUAGCAUCAGGAGUAUCCUUAUAGACUCUGAUUCUCAAGUCCCCGAUGCUCUCCGUAUGUAUAGUGUCAUCACUACUUAAAUCAGAAUGAUUUAUGUUUGGGUUUUCCAUUAUAUGUUGAAUGGCUAAAAUAGCUUUGAAAAUGGCAACAUCGACAAAUAAGCUAUGCAAUAGGAAAGCUUUCCUGUCUCGAAUCUGCCUAUCUUCUGCAGUUUUGCAAGACAUAGAUGCAACAUACAUGAAUUCACUAGCCCAAGGAUGCAAAUCACUUUUUCCAUCCCUUCCCAGACCACCCCCAUUUCCUCCCCAAUUCUCAUCCUCUGUAGGAAGAGGUGGGAAACCCGAAGGCACUUGUGCUGCAACAGGAGGUAUGAGCCAUGUAUUGGCUCUGAACCCAUACGGGAGAUUUCCAAACUGCAGGAGUAGUUAAAACAACUGUUAACAAACAAACGUCCAUUAAUUGACCUUAAUCAAUCAUUAUUUCCACUCCAGAAGUGUACCUUGUUCCUUUCCGUGAAUGCUUUAAUGAGGUCCUCAUAAGCCUGAAAUGAUAGGUACCGCUUGUUCAAAUAGGCAAGUAUAUGGACAACCAAAAUUAAGGCUAUAUGGAAACCGUGAAGAUGAUAUCUUUAGAAACUUACAUUCUCAAAUGCCCUGCUAAGUCGCCGCAACAAAUCAACAAGGUUGUGACAUAAAAUUCGCUGCUUCCCGAUGCUGCAAAAUCCUUUUCGAUAGACUUCUAUAUGGAUUGGCUUUCCAUGGCACAACUUCACCUUUACCAUAAAGUUUAAGUCCUCAGGAAUGUACAAAAAUAACACAUGUUUUACAAAAGAAAUAAUAAACUGUUGAAGGAUUUUCUUACUUCAAGCGAGAAAAGAUGAUCAUCAAUUAAAAUGUCAUCUUCAUUCUGUCGUGUUGCUCUCCUUACAUCUGCAAAAGAAUUUGCGAUAGAAUGUCAAUGUCAGUAUGAAGGAAUAGACCAAAAAUUAUAGCAAAUUGAUUGUGUAUUUAUGUGUAUGAAUUGUUGAAAGAUCCAAGUAUGUCGUCGAGUGUGCGCAUAGACUUACACUGGAUAGGAGGAGUCAGGUGAGAGAGGGAGAAGAAUUCGUAAAAGCUACCAAGCUUGGGACACGAAUUGCUCAGCUCUCCCUCUCCAUCCACGGAGACAUCUUUCGACUGCGGUUGUCGCGGUGGAGGAGUCAAAGUCGGCAGACUCGUCGACCGCUUAUUGCUUUGUUGCGAUUUGCUCGUCUUCUUUCCGGUCUUGGUUUCCGGCACAUUAGUGCUGAAAUCCUCCUUGACCACCGGCGACGGACCAAACGACGUCGUGCAGGCAACGAUGUCCAACAAUCGUCUGACAUGUGCUGUGGCGGUUUCAACGUCGUAGUCCUCUGUUAUGUAAUAAAUGAAAAAGGUGAGGACAAAAAUGUCAUUCGGGUAUAAGAUCGCGGGGUAGUAACACGUGGCAAUAAUAAAGUGGUUGAUUACCCUCAAUGAGAUUGAGCGUGCAAGGCUUCAAUGCGGCAACGUCGCACGUAUCUUUCAAUCGUGGGCCUCUUACCUGUUAACAUAAGACGGGAAUAUGAAAUGGAUGGAGGAAAAAUGUCAUUUGUUAAUGGGCCAACCGAACCAAUUUGAAAACAUAAGGUGGCCCAUUGGUCAAAUAUAAAAAACCAAUAAAAAAAAACAUUUUCUAUUUUAUAGGGUUUGAUUGUUCUUAUAAGAUGUGAAUGAUUAUUGCUGAUAGAAAUUGAUACAAACAAUUAUAAAAGUCGUACCUCGUGAGAGAGCGAAAAAUUUGUGAUGUUGCAUGUUACUGUGUUCACGGAUAAUAGUCGACGAAUAUCUAUAACUCUAUCUGUCGAUAUUCCCUGCUCAAAUCAGAUAAUAUAAUUACAAGAAAAAUAUCAUAUAUUCAUUUUUUCAGUUUGAAAAUGAAGCAGUGCAAUAACAAAUAAACCAUUGUCUUAUAUAUUUUAUUUAUUUAUUUAUUCUUUGAAAAUACUCUUGUAGUUCAUUGAUUGGGCCCACAUCAAGCUUUCAUAUGAAGUCGGUUUCUUAAUAUUAUCCAUAAAAUGCAUGGUACCAUUGAAUAGGAUUAUUCCAAAAAAAGAUAGUUGAGUUUUAAAGUAUACCGAAAACGAGAUACCCGACUUCUAAUGACCGUAUUUACGUGUUUUCUUGUACACCUCUUGUUUGUAAUUGUAGGUGGCGUUGCUAAAAUGCAUAUAUUUGAAUUUUCGACAGACGAUAUAGGUAACACGUUUCUAUUGACAUAGACACGUAUAGUUCGGACAAUUUUGUAACAAUUUGGUAAUGACAUUUUUGACCUGAUAUAGAAGCAAGUCAUAAACCUUCAAAAUCUUAUCUAACAUUCUAGCUGUCUCCAUGAUAUACUCUUAUUUUUUGUAUGUUUUAUGUAUAAAAAUUAGCCCAUGAUAUCCAAAUAUAUAUAGAAACUCAAAUAUAUAUAUAUAUAUAUAUAUAUAUAUAUAUUAAGUUCAUUAAGUCAAAAAGAAACUAACAAUUAUAAACUUAAAAAGGAUACUUGGGUCCNGUAAUUUCUUGUUUUAGCAAAAGAUAAAGUAAAUCAUAUAGAUUAUAAUGGACAAAUCAAGCCAUUACCCUUUGACUUUUUCUUGUAAAGAAAGAGAAAAUGCCAAAUACGAGUUAGUUAAUUAAUAUAUCAAAAUAAACUAGUUUAUAUAGCAUGUGCCCUAUGAGCUUCAUGACAUGUGAUUAUAAACUAUCAAAGAUGAAUCAAAUUGAAAAAAUGUUAUAACUUUUUGUCAUCGAUUUAUUCAUUCCCAGAUAAGAUUUUCAAAUUAUGUAAACACUAUAAAAUAGUAUUUUUAAGUAAUUGUACAAACCUUCAAUAUAACAUGGGUAUCAUCAGGAAGAUUCACAGUUAUAUCCACAACAACUGGUAGAACUGCAAACGUACACAUUCUUCAUUAAUUAUUUUAGAAAAUAAUUAUUAAUUGAAAAUAUUGUUAUUAAAAAAUAAUAAAAUUAUACCCUUCUCUUCCUUCUUCUUCUUAUCUCCCUUGGUCUUCCCACGUCCAUUCUUGGGCGCCAUUUUUCAAAAGCUCUUGCUUCAAGUAAUUUUCUUACUCUGAAUUACAACAUAAAGUAUUAAAUAAUAAAUAUAUAGUUCUUUAUAUAAAGUAAAUAAAUACAAAAAAUGAAAUAUUUAAUUUUGGAUAAUAUUGACAAAUAAUUGACAGGGUUUCCAAAAAAUAUGUCAUGGAAUUGUGAAAUAACUACAAAGGCCAUGGCAAUCGCCAAAAUUUACCAAAGAGCAUUAAAGAUGUAACUUCAAUAUGAAUUAGAUUAAAGAUAAAUAAUUAAUUGUUUUUUUUUUCUUUUUUUAACAAAGAUGUAUUGUGGACUGACCAAAAUGACCCUGGAAGGUAGAAAGAGUUACAGAAAGAUAGGAUAUACCGAUUGAGCGAUAAAGAUUAUGAAUAUUAAUAUAUUAAUUAUUAAUUAAAUAAAAAAACAAAGAGAAACUCUAUAUAAAUAUAAAGAAUAAGUGAUGGGGUUUUUCAAGAAACGUAAUGGAAUAGUAAAAUGACAAAAAUGACCAUGACCAACAAGCAUAGAGCUAGAAAGAUUGUGGAUUAAACAAAAAAUAAUUACGAGGAAUAAUUUAUGGGUUAUUUCAAGAAAAUGUCGUGGAAUCGUGUGGAUGACGAAAACACCAUCGAGGUUGCAAAGAAUUAACAGAAACCAAUGAAGAUACUGAGCUCAGUACGAAAUAGAAGUACAGGAAAAAAAAGUACCCUUAAAAUUAUGAACAACAAUUUAUGGGGAUUUUUAAGAGAAUGUCGUGGAUUUAUGAAAUUGACAAAAACACCAUCGAGCUUGCAAAGAGCUAACGGAAACCAAUGAAGAUUUUGAAUUUAAUACUAACUAAAUACAAGAAAAAAAAAAACAUCGAAUUUUGGAUAAAAUUAUGAAAGGGUCUUUGCAAGAAAAUGUCAUGGAAUUCUGAAAUGACAAAAAAAGCUAUGUAUAUAGCUAAAGAUUCUUCACUCCAAUAGGUAUCAAAUGACAAAUAACAAAAACAGAGGCAACGGAUUAAACACAAGCAGAAAAAAAAAGUAUAUUUUUUGCCAAAAAUAACGAAGAACAAUUGAUGGAUUUUUGCUAGGAAAUGUCGAGGAGUUGUUGAAUGACAAAAAAGGCCAUGAAUAUGAAAAACAAUUACCAGAAAAGCUUGCAGAGAGCAAUAAGAAUCAGAAGUUUAACAAGUACCCAAUCAGUCAGAAGUAAAAACAGAGCCAAUGGUGUGUAUUAUAUCUCUGUGUUUGUGUUUUUUUAGGGUUUUGUGUGUUUUAGGGUUUUGUGAGUGUUUUUUAGUGUGUGUAUAAAGAGGGCAGGAGGUGGAGCACCAUUAGAGAGAUUGAAAGAUGAAAUUAAGAGAUAUAGAGAGAGAGGGAAAGGGGAAGGAGGAGGAGGUGAGUGGGUGAUAAGGAAGGAAGGGUUGAGAUUUAACGGUCAGAUAUAUAAAUUGGCAGUUUCUGAGCUAUCAUUCUUACUUUGGACCUAUUAUUAUUAUUAUUAUUAUUAUUAUUAUUAUUAUUAUUAUUAUUAUUAUUAUUUUCCAAAUAUAUAAAGAAAUAUGGUAAAUAAUUAUAUAAAUUCUCGGCGACAGAUACUUGAAUUUUUACGUAAAAAAACAACAUAUGUUUCGUGUGAUUCGAUGUAGUAAAAUUAACUGCAUAAAAUAGUAACUUAUUUUAUUAAUCAUUUAUGUAAUUCUUUUUACGUAAAAAAUAACUAGCUUAUAACUUCUUUUAGCAACUAUUUAUAAAUAAACUAUUAUUACAAAUUGACUAAACUGCAAAAUUUGGUCCCCCGUGUAAGAAAAAUAUGAAUGGAGUCCAAAAUCUUUUCAACUCACCAUUGGUCCAAAAUCAUAAUUUUUUUUUGUAGUUUUGUUCAUGAAAAAGUUGAAAAAUACUAUUUUACCUUUUUAAUUUUUUUUUUACAUUUUUUAUAUUUAUUUUAAUCUAUUUUAAUUUUGAAAAAAAAAAAAAAAGCAAAGCUUGCUCACCCACCCCCCCACCGUACCUCUCUCUCUCUCUCAUCGUGUUCUUAAUUUUUCAUCCCAUCCCCACUCCUUUUAUGUUAAUUAUGAGGUCACUUAUCAAAUCCUUUCUGAAUUUCCCUUUAUUCCAACAAACCCACAUAAACAAAAAUUAUUAGAGAAAGGGAUAAUGGAUAAGAAUCAAGAUUGAAGCUUUGUAAUUGGGUUCCAUCUUCCUCACAUCACAUCGAGUUCACACCAAACCUGCAUCACAGAUACCAUCUUCUUCUCCAAGCUACCAUAUCUACAUAUCAACCAUUUUCACCACCGUUUACUGAGAUCCCUACAUCACCAUCUUGACACUCUAUCAUCUCAAUAGCUAACACCAUCACCUGUAAUAAAAAAUAAAACAAAUAAAAAAACACCUUUGUUCUUCCAUGGUAUAACAGACCCGAAAAUCAAUUCCUCUAGGGGAAGAGAUGAGACACAAAUAAGAAAAUCGGUCCAUGUUAAAUCCAUAUUCAAUUGGUGGUGGUUUGGUUUGAAGGAAGCAGUAAGGAGUACGACAUUCAGAUGCUCUGGUGGUUUGAGGCAUCGAAACCCUAAUCGUGGUAAGUUUGAAAGGAGAUGUUGUUUUCCGUAGCGAUGGUGGUCACCCCUUUUAAUAUGUGAAGGGGAUAUCAGAGGGUAUUUAUACCAUAAACCCAUGAGCUUCAAGCGAUUUGGAUUAAUGAUUCCGGCAACCUAUACCGUUUGCUUCUUGUUUUUUCAAACCAACUUAAACCUAAAUUCGAUUAGUUAUGGUUUGUUUGUUGUAAUCUUGAUGGGCGAUGAAGACAGUAGGGACGUCAGAGGAAGAAGGUGUCUCAGAGGAAGAAGCCGAUGGGUUUUUUUUUAUCUUCUGUGUGUGUGUGUGUGUGUGUGAGAAAGAGAGAGAGAGAGAGAGAUGAGAAAGAGAGAGCGAGAGAGAGGGGGAGAGAGAGAGAGAGAGAGAGAGAGAGGCAUGUGAAAGGGUACGGUGGAGGGCUGGGUGAGUUGUCUUUGUUAUUGUUUAUUUAUUUUCAAAAUAAAAAGGAUUAAAAUAAAUAUAAAAAAACUUAAAAAGGAAUUUAAAAGGGUAAAACAGUAUUUUCAACUUUUUCAGGGACCAAAACCACAAAAGGUUUAUGAUUUUGGACCAGUGGUGCAAGUUGAAAAGAUUUUGGACUCUAUCCAUAUUUUUCUACUAACCAUACGGACCAAAUUUGCAGUUUAGUCUUACAAAUUCGUAAAUCGUGAUUUUGCUUUUAGUUCCGUAAAAAGUAAAGGAAAACUAAAAACACGAUAGUAUGUCGUUUAUGUUUUCUUUGAAUUGGGUUCAAAUAGUUUUAUUUUUGUAAAAAAAAAUCAUUUAAGGAGGGUUUAUUUGUGAAUUUUGGCAUGUAUCAAAUUUAACGACUAUUUAGCCCUUUAAUACAUUUAGGCUCCGUUUGAUAUGUGUCUGAUUGAGUCGGGUUAGACAUUUUUUGCUGACUCGGUCAGCAAAAAGUGUUUGAUAAUCCAACUUUAGGCAUCUGACUAGGUAAGAACAAUCUUAUUCGGAUAGAAUGGAGAAAAUAAAUGAUUGAGAAAGGGAGAUAUGUUUCCAAUUUUUACCCUUGCCCUACCGAAGGAAGAAAUCAACGCCUCCAUCGUUUCUUCUCCUCCUUCCUCUUCUCAUCAGCAAUCAUCAACGAUCCUUUUCUCAUCAGUUCUGAUUUUUUUGAAGCCUCCUUCCUCUUCUCACCACGUACGCUUCUUCCUUUCUCCUAUUCUCACAAGUUCUGAUUUUUUUUUAUAAUAUGUGGGUUUAAGUUUGUCUCCCCCUCAUUCAUAAAGGUUUCUCCUGAAGAACCUAAAAAACUGCACGCCUUGUUCUGACCUCAACUUGGUUCUUUAGUCGCCUCACUUUUGUAACAUCCCAAAAUCAUAAUAAAAAUUUUCAUUUUUAAUUUAAGAGAAAUCGUUGUUUUCAAUCAAAUCCAAGUCAUAAAAACCCAAGAUCAAGUACAAAUGUUCCAAAAUCAAUGUAUCACAAUCAUCUCUAAAACAUGUCAUCGAUGGAUAUGUAUGAUUGCUGUAACGCCCGUAGAUCAGGGCUAGUCAAUUUAGAGACGAUAAGCGUAAAAAAAAGAGUUUCUGAUGGAAGAUUAUUUAGAAUGAAUCAUCUUAACUAAGUUGUAGUAUAUGUUACAAGGAUUCCGUACAUAUAAAGAACGCCAAAAUCUGAGUUAUAACGAAGAAGUUAUGACCUGUCGAAGUUUCGCGAUAGAACCGGCACGACACAACGCGACGUAAAAAGUGAAUUUACGUUAGAGCGAUAUUUAGCCUUAGCGAUCUAAAUGAAAGUCAUAGAAUACAUUAAACCGUGAGUGUGCAUAAAAAGAACGUCCAAAUCUGACUUCGUAUGAAGAAUCUAUGAUUUUUCUAAGUUUCAACUUAGCGGUAAGCAGCCCGAAUACUCGAUUUGAGAUCAAGCGGUUUUUAGCCGGAACAAUCUAAACAAGAAUCGAAGAUCACGUUAAUAGUAUUGGAACGAUAAAAAGAUAGGCGAAAACGGACGUCAGAUGAAGAAGUUAUGAAUGUAUAACGAAAUUUUCCUGUCUCGGCCUACUAAAAAUAAAUAAUAAAAAUAAAGUCAAAAUUAGCCGAUGGAGUCUAAAUAAAAGUUGUAGAGCAUGGUCUUACCUACGCGUGGAUAUAAAGAACAUCGAAAACGGAGCUCGUAUGAGAAAGUUACGCAAUUUAGAAGUUUGACGAGUCAAAUUACGCCGAGCGUAAUUUGAGUACGCCCAGCGUACUCAGAGGGGUGCAAGUUGCCUGACCAAUACUCGAGUUCCACCAAGUGACACAUGCAAUGACGUUUAGUACGCCCAACGUAAGGCCUGGUACGCCUAGCGUACUCGAGGUUACGCCCAGCGUAAUCCAAGACCCAACAGCCUAUAAAUAGAACCCGAGAUCAGCCAUUUUCCUUGCUAAUUUUCUUCCUUUCUCUCAAUGUUUUGCGUGCCAAUUAUAUCCCGAAGCCCCGGUAUCAUUCCCGAGUCCCGAAUCAAGUUCCGAAGUGCCGAAGAUCCCGAGGAGCGUUAUUCCCAAGUCGAAUCCCUGCCCGCGAGGAGCCCGGUUUUUGUGAAGAUCUUCCAGAUCUACCGAAGAAUACUACUUCUACAAGCCGUAGUGCUGUCCGAGCAUCGUCUAAUCAAGUGAGUGUGUAGUUACUUUCUUUUAACAUAUAAAUAUGAAGUAUUUUCUAUGAAAUACGUGCUAUGUGUUUAUAUGUUAUUUGUCUAUUUGAGAUGGGCGUGGAAUUGAUGUUUUAUACAGGUGUUAAAUGAUUUAAAUUGUGUAAGUAUUUAUAUCUACGAAAAAUGUUUGGUAGAACAUGGGUGGAUGGGAUAGUUGGUGACUAUGGAGUUAGCGCCUAUUGUAUAAACCUUGGCGACGAUGUGACUUCAUGCCUAUUUCAUGAACCUUGGCGACUAUGGAGUUAGCGCACGUUGAGUAAACCUUGGCGACUAUGGAGUUAGCGCUUGUUAAGUGAACCUUGGUGACUAUGGAGUUAGCGCCUGAUAGCUAUGGAUUUAGUACCUGAUAAAUAAACUUUGGCAGCAAUGGACUUCGUGCCAAUUCCUUAGGUAAAUCCUUAGGAAUAAAUGAAUGAAGGAUAGUUGGUUCUUAGGGUAAAACCUUAAAAAAUAAAGAAGAUAAUGAGGAUGGGUAAUUGGAUUGAUUGUUUGCUGAUUAAAUAUAAUAAUUAUAUUAUUGUGGGUUGAAAACCUUAUAUGCUCACCAGGCUCCCAAGCCUGACCCACUCAGUUUUCUUUGUAUCACAGGUAUCAAUAUGAAGGUAUAUUUCAUGGAGAGAUUAAAGGAGAUGUAAAAUCUUUAGUGUAAUUAAUGUAAGUUUUGUUUAUGCUUAUGUGUCUGUAUCGGAACAUGACAUCCCGAGAUUUUGUUAUAUAAUGAAAAUACUUUACUUUAAGAAAUGCUUUGAUAAAUUCUUAUCAUAUUUUGUUUUGGGAACAAAUUUUGUAACAGUUUUCUUUAUACGAUUACUCUGAUUUUAAAAACAAAGCAUAAACAAAUCGGUAUUUUCUGACCGUGAAAUUGGGGAUGUCACAGUUGGUAUCAGAGCAUUAGUUUAAGCGAACUAGGAAUAUGGAUUUAUUUCUAGACUUAAACUUAGAAUGCUAAGAGAUGAUUGUGAGUUGAGUGUGUCCAUUAUAUUUUAGGUAGUACACCUAAAUUGACACAGACAAUAGUUUAUUUUAGGAAAGAUGCCUAAAAUGCCUUUAAGUGCUAAAUGUUAUAUGUUUGUCAUAUAUGAUAUUAUUUGUUCGGAUCGAUGGUCUGUUGCCGACCGGGUCUGGAAGCCUUAUGUGUUUAGGAUUCUAAGCGUACAUCUACGAUAUUAGAACUAGCAUGUAAACGUUUCAGAAGGAUAUGGAAGAUCGUAAUAUCUAUCGUAAAUAAGGAUCUAAUUUCACCUUAUUCGGUGUAUUGAUCAAGAUGGAAAGAACAAGAAGCGGAGUUGGAAAUGCAAACGAGAAUAGGAAUCAACCACCAGUGAUUAAGCAAAUACUUGUUGUGGCUGUAGCACCUGAGCCAAUAACAAUGGCUGGUGUACAAAUGAUGAUUCAAACAAUGUUGGAUCGUCAGAUGGAGGAGACCAGGCGGUUGCUUCGACAGAAUCAUGAAGAACUGUCAAUUCAAGUGGAAGAGCUCGAAGUAAAUGGAGGGCAUUCGGAAGGGGGGAACUACAGUGGAACCAUUGGUCAAGCCAACCCACCAAUAGUUCGCCAAAACAACCAGGAUGGAGGAAAUGACGGACGUGGGUGCAAGUACAAGGAUUUCAUGGCAUCCAAACCACCGUGUCUUUCUGGGAGCCCGACACCGGUGCAAGUCAUGGACUGGAUCUCCAAAAUAGAGACAAUGUUUGAAAGUUGCAAAUGUUGCAACAGACAGACGACCGCUCUUGCAAUUCCUCUGUUAAAAUUUGGAGUACUGAGUUGGUGGAAGUUAUUGGCUGGUUCGAUGCCCAAGGGGGAAGCUAGCAAGAUGUCUUGGGAAGAGUUUGUGGUGCAACUAAAAAUGCAAUACUGCUCUAAGCAAGAUCUUCUAGAAAUCAACAAUGAGCUCCAGAAUCUAAAGAAGGAAAAUUGAGCGUCACUGAAUACGCUACGAGCUUUACGGAGAAGAUGAAGCUUAUUCCAUACCAAAUUCCAACUAAACUUUCCAAGGUCAACAAGUUUGCCAAUGGAUUACUAGCGGACUUUGGUCUGAUAGUUAAGCAAGCAACCACUUUGAAGGCCGCCAUCUGGGCAGCCAAGAAUGUUGAGACCCAAAUAAAAGAAAAGGGUAUGGAAAGAGCUGAAGUUGGAGAGAAAAUGAAACGUGAAGGAUCUUCAAUAAUCGACAAAGAAAGCAAAUUCUUGAAAUCUGGGGGAAGAGAUGAAGCUAAGUGGUGUGAGAAGUGUAAAAAGAAACACUUCAGGAAAUGUAGCGAGGAUAUGACUUUCUACAAAUGUGGGAAGACAGGGCACUACGCCAACAAGUGCACACCUAUCAAGAAGGUGUGUUAUAGAUGUAACGAAGAAGGGCAUAUUUCUAAAGACUGCCCAAAGAAAAACAGACCUCCACAGCCAAGGGCAUUCCACAUGCUCCUCAAUGAAGUAGAAAAUGAUGGGAGGAUUAAAAGAUGAAGUCUUCGUAUCUAUAUAUAAAGUCUGUAUCAGGAAGUGUAGCCUGUUAGAGGCAUAGUAUAGGGUAAACUUGAACCUUUGUGUAAUCAUUUCAAGAAAUAAUAUAAACCCUGGUUUUGUUAUCUGAUGUGUUGAAUGAUUAUAUGAUUUAUGUAUGGUGACUUGGUUGACUGCGAGACAAUACUUGGGACGAGUAUGAGAAGGUGUGAAUGGUAGUAGAGAUCUAUGCUACCGGAAGCAUAGGACUCACGCUUGGAUCAGGGAAAGUCACAAGGUUACCAAGAAGCUAGUAAUUGAUUUCGUUUUAUUCAAGUUUGUCAUUACCCUUGUUUCGGUAAUGGCUAGUAGGAUGAUGGUUAUUCCGACCCUAGUGGUCAUAUCAAAUUGAGUCCGACUAUGAUGAGAGGUCAUCGGGACACGACUCAUCAGUCUUUUACAAUAGAUAAAGGAAUGUAUUUAUCCUAAGAAGAAGAAGGAGUCCACAAUAAGGAUUUAUUUUGUAACUUGAAGGUUAUGAUUGAAAGUCCAACAUAGUAUGAAAAGCAGAUGAAAGAUUGAGCAUCACGGUUAUUAAUUAGGAUGGAAAUUUAACGUAAAGACUGUUUCGUUGAUGAUUCCGGACGUAAUCAUCCUAAGGGGGAGAUAAUUGUAACGCCCGUAGAUCAGGGCUAGUUAAUUUAGAGACGAUAAGCGUAAAAAAAAUGAGUUUCCGAUGGAAGAUUAUUAGAAUGAAUAAUCUUAACUAAGUUGUAGUAUAUGUUACAAGGAUUCCGUACAUAUAAAAAACGCCGAAAUCCGAGCUAUAACGAAAAAGUUAUGACUUGUCGAAGUUUCGCGACAGAACUGACACGACACAACGCGAACGUAAAAAGUGAAUUUACGUUAGAGCGAUAUUUAGCCUUAGCAAUCUAAACGAACGUCAUAGAAUACGUUAAACCGUGAGCGUGCAUAAAAAGAACGUCCAAAUCUGACUUCAUAUGAAGAAUUUAUGAUUUUUCUAAGUUUCGACUUAGCGGUAAGCAGCCCGAAUACUCGAUUUGAGAUCAAGCGGUUUUUAGCCGAAACAAUCUAAACAAGAAUCGAAUAUCUCGUUAAUAGUAGUAAAACGAUAAAAAGAUAGGAGAAAACGGACGUCAGAUGAAGAAGUUAUGAAUGUAUAACGGAAUUUUCCUGUCCCGGCCUACUAAAAAUAAAUAAUAAAAAUAAAGUCAAAAUUAGCCGAUGGAGUCUAAAUAAAAGUUGUAGAGCAUGGUCUUACCUACGCGUGGAUAUAAAGAACAUCGAAAACGGAGCUCGUAUGAGAAAGUUACGCAAUUUAGAAGUUUGACGAGUCAAAUUACGCCGAGCGUAAUUUGAGUACGCCCAGCGUACUCAGAGGGGUGCAAGUUGCAUGACCAAUACUCGAGUGCCACCAAGUGACGCAUGCAAUGACGUUUAGUACGUCCAGCUUAAGGCUUGGUACACCCAACGUAAUCCCAGACCCAACAACCUAUAAAUAGAACCCGAGAUCAGCCAUUUUCCUUGCUAAUUCUUCCUUUCUCUCUAAGUUUUGCAUCGUUUUGCGUGCCAAUUAUAUCCCGAAGCCCCGGUAUCAUUCUUGAGUCCUGAAGCAAGUUCCGAAGUGUCGAAGAUCCCAAGGAGCGUUAUUCCCAAGUCGAAGCCCUGCCCGCGAGGAGCCCGGUUUUUGUGAAGAUCUUCCAGAUCUACCGAAGAAUACUACUUCUACAAGUCGUAGUGCUGUCCGAGCAUCGUCUAAUCAAGUGAGUGUGUAGUUACUUUCUUCUAACACAUAAAUAUGAAGUAUUUGCUAUGAAAUACGUGCUAUGUGUUUAUAUGUUAUUUGUCUAUUUGAGAUGGACGUGGAAUUGAUGUUUUAUACAGGUGUUAAAUGAUUUAAACUGUGUAAGUAUUUAUAUCUACGAAAAAUGUUUGGUAGAACAUGGGUAGAUGGGAUAGUUGGUGACUAUGGAGUUAGCGCCUAUUGUAUAAACCUUGGCGACGAUGUGACUUCGUGCCUAUUUCAUGAACCUUGGCGACUAUGGAGUUAGCGCACGUUGAGUAAACCUUGGCGACUAUGAAGUUAGCGCUUGUUGAGUAAACCUUGGCGACUAUGGAGUUAGCGCUUGUUAAGUGAACCUUGGUGACUAUGGAGUUAGCGCCUGAUAGCUAUGGAUUUAGUACCUGAUAAAUAAACUUUGGCAGCAAUGGACUUCGUGCCAAUUCCUUAGGUAAAUCCUUAGGAAUAAAUGAAUAAAGGAUAGUUGGUUCUUAGGGUAAAACCUUAAGAAAUAAAAAAGAUAAUGGGGAUGGGUAAUUGGGUUGAUUGUUUGCUGAUUAAAUAUAAUAAUUAUAUUAUUGUGGGUUGAAAACUCUAUAUGCUUACUAGGCUCCCAAGUCUGACCCACUUAGUUUUCUUUGUAUCACAGGUAUCAAUACGAAGGUAUAUUUCACGGAGAGAUUAAAGGAGAUGUAAAAUCUUUAGUGUAAUUAAUGUAAGUUUUGUUUAUGCUUAUGUGUCUGUAUCGGAACAUGACAUCCCGAGAUUUUGUUAUAUAAUGAAAAUACUUUACUUUAAGAAAUGCUUUGAUAAAUUCUUAUCAUAUUUUGUUUUGGGAACAACUUCCGCAACAGUUUUUUUUAAACGAUUACUCUGAUUUUAAAAACAAAGCAUAAACAAAUCGGUCUUUUUUGGCCGUGAAAUUGGGGAUGUCACAAUUACGCCUUUGUUUUCCCCCGAUCGUCUGAAGUACCUGAAACAUAAAACUUAAAAUGCAAGUCAAAGCUUAGUGAGUCCCCCCAAAGUACCACACACGAUCAAUACAAAUAAUAACAUACAUAUAUAAGCUUUCAACCUGACUGGACCGCCUCGCAAGGCCUAUAGCCUAUCUGGACCACUCUUCUGGCCUUACUGGACCGCCUCGCAGGCAUUCAGUCUAUCUGGAUCGCCACGGGUAUCUUGACCUUCAACACAAAGCAAGAUCGUCUCAACCCAACAAACCAUAACAUGUCAACAUAUAAAAUAUAACCAGCAACACAGGUAGUACAAAUCUACAAAUCUAACGCAUACUUGGUGAACACAGGUAACCAUACAAAUCUAUCCAUCUAACACAUACUCAGCAUAGUAUCAAUCCAAUAUACCCGGAUACAUAAUCUAGUGGGUCGGCAUUGGUGUCUUCAACCCACAAAGUACAGUGAAGAAGACUCGCCUUCCAGUCUGAAAGGAUAGUUGAACAGAUCACAACUCAUACUACUGACUCUAUAGUUCACUUAUACAUUAAAUAAUGACAUAGUCUCAAACUAUUGUUCAAAUACCCAAAAUACCACUAAGUCAAACUUGGUCAAAAUCCUGGUCAAAGUCAAGGUAAAAAGGUCAAAGAUUCCAUCUGGGCUGAGUACGCCCUGCGUACUCCCCUGUACGCCCAACGUAGAGGGUUCCCUUCCAAAACACGGGUUCGAUCCCUGAUACGCGCAUGAUACCUCUAGGUACACCCAAGGUACCAGAGUUGAAUAUCUAAAUCACUAUUAAGCUCUUAUUUUGUUAAGCCAAAGCACCAAACUUCAGAUCCACAUAAAAAGGGACGUCUUAAUGAAUAAAGUCUCUUAAUUUAUCCAUUUGCAUACAUACAAGUGUUGGAUUAAUGUCUAAGUCCAUAACUAUAUGUGGUAUGUACUUGACCCAACCCGGCAUGGUCCAUUUGGGUUGCACUUCACCGACACAAUUUAUAUGGAUAGUCUUUUGAGAAUAGUAUAUUUAUGAUUAAUAUUAAUAUAUUAUAAGUUCUAAUAUUAAUAUGGAAUCAUAUUAUUUAAUUAGUAUUGAUCAAGAAUUAAUUUAGAAUUAAUUAAGUGAUCAAAAGUAACUAAUUAAAUAUGGACUCUUAUAUAUAUGGAAUGGUCCAAGUUCAUUUAGGUUGGGCUAAGCUUUUAUGGAUAGUUCAUGGAGCUUUUAACCCAUGGAUCCUAUGUAAAUGAAAGGUCAUGGGUAUUAGGGUUUACAUUGAUGUAACCCUAAUCCUCCAUAAUAUAUAAAGGGGUCCUUGGCUCACAAAAUUGGCACAAGUGUGUGAAAAUAAGAGUGGGCAAUUUUAGUGUGCAUACAUAUUCUCUCAAGUUCUUCCAAGGUGUGUUUUGGUUAUUUGUGAUUCCAUUUGAGGCUUCCACACUAUUGGGGCUAAGCUCUUAAAGCUUGAAGACAUCAAGCUACAUCAAAAGGUAUGUCAUCUAACUAGAACUUUGUAGUAUAGGUGCUUCAUAAUAUGCUAGUUAGGAUGAAACCUUGGAAUAGUUAAUAUUUUCAUGUAUAAUAGAGAAAACAUAGAUCCAAGGUUUAUAGGGUUGCAUGUACACCAUAGGAGUGUUAGAAUGUUCAAAACCCAACAACAAGAGGGUAAAAACUCAAACCCUUGGUCCAAAAGUCAUCCAAAGUACCAAAACUCUUGCAUGGCUCAAAAAGAAUGCCAAAGCUCUCAUUGUUAUGAAUCUAUGAGCUCAAAACUACAAGAAACUAUAUUUCAAGGACCUGGAAUAGUUCACACUCCACUAAAACAAACUAUGGGACCAAAAAUACACACAAACUCUAGACUAACAAUAUCUAAGCAAAUAACACAUCAAGAUCCAAGCUUUAUACCUUCAAAUGAUGCUUGAGGGCAAGAUACUUUUGGAUCCAAGAUUCAUUGAGCUUCCAAGUUGAUUCCAUUUCUUUCUUCUUCCUUCAAGAUCACCAAAAGCACAUUUUCUAGCUCAAAGUGCUCACACAAUUGAUUAGGAUAGGUAAGGGACGAUUUGGGAGGUGGAGGCUGAUGAGGGAAGAGGUCUUGAAGAGAUAAUAAUGUUUAAAUAGGGUUCAAACCCUAUUUCACCCCGAGCCACGUACGCCCUGCUUAUGCUGAGUAUGCCCAACAUACCUGACAAAAACAUGCGAUCUCGCUUAAUGAUCCAAGGGACCAAUUUUGCAAUUUAAUUUCAUUGUAAGGGUAUACACGGGAAAUACCUGGGUCAAGGUGUUACAUAUUCUCUUGCUCCUACGACUCAGGUUGAUUGAAGGGUUCUUAAAUCAUCAGUUUACAUGAGUAAAUAAAUGGAUGUUGUGAAUAAAGUUUAUCCACGAAAUAUAAUAAACAAGCAAAAAGUGUAGAACAACGAGAGGAAGGAAAAGAGGGCAGCAGCUUUGCUGCUAUUACUAGCAACAAAGUCCAGUGGUGAUGGUGUUAUGUGGCUCGAUUUCAUGAUUGGAAUAAUGUAGAUUUCAUUUUCUUCUUGCUUUAUCAUAAUUUUAAAAGCAAUACCAAGCCAACCUCCAAUUUAGGCACUGGUUUUGCUGUAAGGGUUUCCAAUUGUACCCUUGUUGUUUUGAUUUUUAGAUAAUAUAUGAGUUUUCUCUUGAAUGUUAAUUUGUUUCAAGUGAAUUGCUGUUGAUUGUUCGUUGUUUCAACACUAUUUUGCUGUUGAUUUUUGCUGAUAUUUUGAUUUUGUUGUUGAUUUUGCUUUAUGAAUUAGGAGAAAUGGUUAUCAGUUGUUAAUGAGGAUGAAUGGUGGAACGGUGGAGGUAAGGGGUUCUAUAGAUGGAUGGGGUUAUGGUGGAGGUUCAAUAUGGGUGAUAAUGGAGGUUAAAGUGGGGUGAAAAUAUGAUGUUGUAAUAGUGGCAUAGAUGGUGGUGGGAAUGAAGAAGGGUGGUUGUAAAUGUGGUUGUUUAGGUGGGUGAAGA